rnacentral:rRNA from 1 species
CUCCUACGGGGGGCAGCAGUGAGGAAUAUUGGUCAAUGGCCGCAGGGCUGAACCAGCCAAGUCGCGUGAGGGAUGACGGUCCUAUGGAUUGUAAACCUCUUUUGUCAGGGAGCAAAGGGCGCCACGUGUGGCGUUUUGCGAGUACCUGAAGAAAAAGCAUCGGCUAACUCCGUGCCAGCAGCCGCGGUAAUACGGAGGAUGCGAGCGUUAUCCGGAUUUAUUGGGUUUAAAGGGUGCGUAGGCGGUCGGAUAAGUUAGAGGUGAAAUCCCGAGGCUCAACUUCGGAAUUGCCUCUGAUACUGUUU